GCUGGGCAUGGUGGUGCAUGCCUGUAGUCCCAGCUAUUUGGGAGGCUGAGGUGGGAGGAUUGCUUGAGCCCAGGAGUUGGAGGCUGCAGUGAGCCAUGAUGGUGCCACUGCACUCCAGCCUGGGCAACAGAGUGAGACCCUGUUUCUA
rnacentral:SRP_RNA from 1 species